rnacentral:rRNA from 1 species
UAGGGAAUCUUCGGCAAUGGGGGGAACCCUGACCGAGCAACGCCGCGUGAGUGAAGAAGGUUUUCGGAUCGUAAAGCUCUGUUGUUAAGGAAGAACGAGUGUGAGAAUGGAAAGUUCAACUGUGACGGUACUUAACCAGAAAGGGACGGCUAACUACGUGCCAGCAGCCGCGGUAAUACGUAGGUCCCGAGCGUUGUCCGGAUUUAUUGGGCGUAAAGCGAGCGCAGGCGGUUAGAUAAGUCUGAAGUUAAAGGCAGUGGCUCAACCAUUGUAGGCUUUGGAAACUGUUUAACUUGAGUGCAGAAGGGGAGAGUGGAAUUCCAUGUGUAGCGGUGAAAUGCGUAGAUAUAUGGAGGAACACCGGUGGCGAAAGCGGCUCUCUGGUCUGUAACUGACGCUGAGGCUCGAAAGCGUGGGGAGCGAACAGG